rnacentral:rRNA from 1 species
AGAGUUUGAUCCUGGCUCAGAUUGAACGCUGGCGGCAUGCCUUACACAUGCAAGUCGAACGGUAACGCGGGGCAACCUGGCGACGAGUGGCGAACGGGUGAGUAAUGCAUCGGAACGUGCCCAGUAGUGGGGGAUAGCCCGGCGAAAGCCGGAUUAAUACCGCAUACGACCUACGGGUGAAAGCGGGGGACUCGCAAGAGCCUCGCGCUAUUGGAGCGGCCGAUGUCAGAUUAGCUAGUUGGUGGGGUAAAAGCCUACCAAGGCGACGAUCUGUAGCUGGUCUGAGAGGACGACCAGCCACACUGGGACUGAGACACGGCCCAGACUCCUACGGGAGGCAGCGGUGGGGAAUUUUGGACAAUGGGCGCAAGCCUGAUCCAGCCAUGCCGCGUGCGGGAAGAAGGCCUUCGGGUUGUAAACCGCUUUUGUCAGGGAAGAAACGCUCUGGGCUAAUACCCCGGGGUAAUGACGGUACCUGAAGAAUAAGCACCGGCUAACUACGUGCCAGCAGCCGCGGUAAUACGUAGGGUGCAAGCGUUAAUCGGAAUUACUGGGCGUAAAGCGUGCGCAGGCGGUUAUACAAGACAGAUGUGAAAUCCCCGGGCUCAACCUGGGAACUGCAUUUGUGACUGUAUAGCUAGAGUACGGUAGAGGGGGAUGGAAUUCCGCGUGUAGCAGUGAAAUGCGUAGAUAUGCGGAGGAACACCGAUGGCGAAGGCAAUCCCCUGGACCUGUACUGACGCUCAUGCACGAAAGCGUGGGGAGCAAACAGGAUUAGAUACCCUGGUAGUCCACGCCCUAAACGAUGUCAACUGGUUGUUGGACGGCUUGCUGUUCAGUAACGAAGCUAACGCGUGAAGUUGACCGCCUGGGGAGUACGGCCGCAAGGUUGGAACUCAAAGGAAUUGACGGGGACCCGCACAAGCGGUGGAUGAUGUGGUUUAAUUCGAUGCAACGCGAAAAACCUUACCUACCCUUGACAUGUCAAGAAUCUUGCAGAGAUGUGAGAGUGCUCGAAAGAGAACUUGAACACAGGUGCUGCAUGGCCGUCGUCAGCUCGUGUCGUGAGAUGUUGGGUUAAGUCCCGCAACGAGCGCAACCCUUGUCAUUAGUUGCUACGAAAGGGCACUCUAAUGAGACUGCCGGUGACAAACCGGAGGAAGGUAGGGAUGACGUCAGGUCCUCAUGGCCCUUAUGGGUAGGGCUACACACGUCAUACAAUGGCCGGUACAGAGGGCUGCCAACCCGCGAGGGGGAGCUAAUCCCAGAAAACCGGUCGUAGUCCGGAUCGCAGUCUGCAACUCGACUGCGUGAAGUCGGAAUCGCUAGUAAUCGCGGAUCAGCUUGCCGCGGUGAAUACGUUCCCGGGUCUUGUACACACCGCCCGUCACACCAUGGGAGCGGGUUCUGCCAGAAGUAGUUAGCCUAACCGCAAGGGGGGCGAUUACCACGGCAGGGUUCGUGACUGGGGUGAAGUCGUAACAAGGUA